CUGCGCUUGGGGCUGCCGGCCCGGCCCGCCGUGACGCGGGGCACGGCUCCGAGGGGCUCCGAUCGCUGUAUCCGGAGCUCCCCUCGUUUCGUGCGUCUCAAAAUGUCCGCGUGUCCCCUUCUGUAACGGCCCCCGUUCUGUCUUCGGGCUCCGUUUUAAAUUAACGCCUCGGCUGAAUCGAAAUGGCAAAAUUAGAUCACCCGGCGUCUAAUAAAGGCUGAUGAAAUGAAGUGGCUCGAGUCGUUCUUAGCGCUGCGCGGCGCGUACGGAAAGCACAGUUAUGUACGGCACCAACCUACACGACGAGGAAGAGGGGAUUUGUAACAGUUCAAGAGUCUGAAAGCAGAUGAAAACCGCCGUGGAUACACUGAGCUUCCCCGUUCGGCAGCGCCUCGUAACUUUCCUUGGUGCGCUUCAAAAUACAGCCACAGAAUCAAAAUGUUUUGAUGCUGAAAUAAAGGUUUUGUCUUUUAUUGAAUGUUUUAGAGCGCCUCCCAAAAUGGAAUCCAUUCCCUGGCUCAGGCCCGACCAGCAGCAGUACUACAGACAGCACUUAAUGAGAGCUCUCACAAACGCACACCCCGCUUCUCCUUACUGCUGAGAUCUGAUUUUUUCCUUGCUUAUCUGUGGCUUAACACGAAGCCCCGCUGGCCACAAGAGAAGAUGCGGGGUUGUUGCUGUUUGGUGAGACGUGCUCAAGCCGGUUGUAAGAAUUCCUGCAGCAGCAAUAAAUGCUCCAUUAAUUUGGGGGGAAUUCAGGGCAUUUUUAUUUUUUUGCCUGUUGCAAUUCAGCAGAGGAUGUUUUUGUUACAUGGAGAAAAAUACACCCAGCUCAGAUUUUUAUAGUCCGUAGUGCUGUGCUUUCAAAUAAUUCCCCCUCUUCCGUGUGAUUUGUCACCUUGCAUUAUCCUUAAGUACAAACGCAUCGCUGCUGUUUCAUCACUGAGAUUUAAUGUUUUUUAUGAGACGUUUUCACUCUGAAAAAAAACCAUAAAUCUCUAUUUAAGGGAAGAAAAAAGGAAUUAUUUUCUUUCUUUGGGUAUAAUAACCAUUUGAGUAAAAAAACGAAAAUCUCAGAUUACUUUAAUCUGGUAAUUUGGUUGUUCUAACGCCGGUAGCACUGCGUAUUCUUUUUGCAGAUACGAAGGGUCUCACAGCACUUUGUGACUUUCAGAUGGGAAUGCUCGUGUGCGUUCACUGAAAUCAUGUUGUUAAUAGAAAGAUUACUAGAAUUUGCUGCUAAUAAAGCUGAGACAUAGAACUGAGUCAAUUAUGAAGUGCUCCAAAGGUUUUUACAUUUCUCCUGCUUGCUGCCGUGGCCUGCUUUCUUCCUUAUUAUUUUUAUUUUCAAUCUCCCUGUUUUUCCCUUCUUCAGUAGGUGUAAAUAUCCGAAUACAGAUCUAUUAGAGCGAAUGUCCUUCGAUCACUGUUUGCUUUUAGGAAAUACGACUGUAGUAUCUUUGAUUUCUCCUUGAUUUUUGUGUAGGGUUUUUUUGUUUGUUUGUUUGUUAUUGUUUUUAAUUCGUUUUCUUUCCCCAUAUUGGUUUGCUGGUGUAGUUUAACAAUGCUGUAACCAGAAAGCACGCUGCUUGCUGGCUGCGGCUCUCGAUGUGAAAGGCUUUCUGUUUCUUGUGAAAUCUGGGCUUUUCUUUAUAGACAAAGGGAAGUAUUUAUGGUUUGUAAAUCGCCAAGCCGGACAAUGUAGCUAAAUAUUUGAAGCACAAUAUUGGGGGCUGGGGGGCUGAGAACAACGUAAAGCAUUAACCAAGCUUCCUUGGUUGAUUUGUUUUGUUUCAUUUUCCCCCUCCUCCCCCCUCCCAAUGGGAAUGAUCACCACCAGUUGCUCAUCUUUUUUUGUGAGUGUUGGUUCUUACUCUUGAAGCCAAGCGUUAAUUUUUCAAGGGUGAGAAGAGAGGGAUGUUACUAUGGAGCCAGCCAACUUUUUGUUUCAUUGUUACCGUCUAUAUUCUCUAUCUGCAGAAAGAACCGACUGUGCCAAAAUACAAUACUACCGUGAGUAAAUGCCUCCUGCACUUUUAAAUAAUAACCUACAAUUCAACAAAACAGCUUCACAUCAGAAUGGUAUUAAAUACUCACUUGUUUACGCCUCGUACCUGAAAUGCAUCCUCUCUGCACGCUGCAUUGGUGACCCUACUGAGCCUGCCACUGGAGAGCUCCUUACGGCUGGUGUAGCUGGUGUCACCUGCCCACACCAGGCACCAAAUUCCAAGCCGUGUGUUUCAAUCCUGAGCCUUUCUUUACAUUUUUCAGUGCACCCUUUGGUACAGAAUGCAGAUGUCUUCCCACUCAGCCCAAAAUAAACCACUUCUCCUUUUGCUUUCUUCUCACGAUGGUGGAAAGCAGUGUAGAAUUAGAAAUCUAUACUACUCAAAGUACCACCAGCAUUGGCAAGUUCAUGUUUUAUAAAAGUAUGAGGAUCGGUUCACCUCUAAUAUACUUAUUAGCAAUCUUCCACAGGCAGAAGAGCUAAAUCCAAGUCACUUAUAAAAGUGGCACUGUGUUUUUUUUAUGCAGCAUUUGUGUGUACAAAAUAAACAAUAAAUUAUAAACUAUACAAUCAAGCUUCUGAAGUUAGCUCUAUCUGCUAUUUGUAUUUUCAGUAGUAAAUGAGUCUGGCUGAAAUUCAUUCUCUGCAGCCCAUUGUUACCCAAGUACAUAUAAACUGCAGCAACUGUGACAUUCUUUCAGUUUCGCUAUUAGAUCUCUAAAUGGACACAAAAAAGUCCCUUCUACAGAGAAACUAAGGAUUAGACCUAUGCAGUUCCUACUGAAUAAAGGACUUCUAUUAGUUUAAGGGUUUUUUCCCCCCGUUUAUUUCAAGUCAUUUAGUUUGCGCCCCUGUAUUUCAUAAAAGACUUUUGAUUAAAGUUACCAAAUCAGUUUGACAGUACAAUUUCCCAUGCUGAAUACGCUGCCGAUCUAUCUGGACCAUUACAACAAAAAGCCUGAGCUGCUGUACUACAUUUGGCCCUUGGGCUGCUCUUCACAGAGCAUGUGGGAUCUUUGCCAUCUUUGGUUUCACGUCCAUGCGACAUCCCAGAAGUUUUCUCAGAAUUUUAAGGAUUAUGGUUUGCUUCUUCCUUUGUUUGUUUAAGCAAGACUUCCAAAAAAACAAAUAUAUGGGGGCGUAUUUUAGAGGAGGCGUACUCAAAAACAAAUAAGGAGGAGAAGAAAAGUGUGUUUACACUGUUGCUUCCUACAUUGGCAGUUAUUUUCUUAGGUCACUCCUAGAAAACUUUCAAAACCAAUUGCAGUUACUGUACUUCCUAGUGGUAUCGCUGUGGAACUUCCACAAAGUUAAGGCAGUGGACUGUCACAAAUUAACAUCAAUGUAAUAACUCGAGAGAUUCUGCCACGCUGUUAUCCGAGAUAUGGUCUGAUACACUUGUAAUUACAGGAAAGGCUGAAGGAGAAAUCUUUCAGUGUUUGCAGAUAUGCACAGUGCAGUUUAGAUAGAAUCAGAGGAGGCCGUGAGAAACAUGGGAGAUCUGCCCAGAGAAGGGUGGAAGACCAACGCUGGUAAAACUUUGUGAUGUUACAUUUAAAAUGAUCUGUCGGAAGAAGUGAGUCAGUUAUGUUCCUCAUGGGCUCCUAAGCCAAGCUAAAUUUGAUAUCUGGUCAUAAAUCUUUUAAAAAGACCGCUCUAUCGUGUACUCGCCACUGAGAAUAUGGGAUUUUAUUUUUCCCUAGAACUCUAACGUGAAACUGAUGGCACACCUUGUGUUGGAAUUCUGUGUUGCCUUAUCCCCAAAGAAUCACAGUUCAGAGGUACGUGAGGAAAGCAGUUAGGAUCAAGAAGAAGUAUUCUGGGAAAUAGAAUUAAGUACUGGGGAAGUAGAAUAAAAGAUGUGAAGGAGGUAAGGUAUAGCACGGCAUGCCAAAUACCUGUGUUAAAGACAAACCAGGGGCUUCUGUAAACUCUGGGACGUGGUUCAAG
ensembl:lncRNA